GACGUAGGGCGCGAGCGUUGUCCGGAUUUAUUGGGCGUAAAGAGCGUGUAGGCGGCCAGGUAGGUCCGCUGUGAAAGUCCGAGGCUCAACCUCGGAAUGUCGGCGGAAACCCUCUGGCUAGAGUCCGGAAGAGGAGAGUGGAAUUCCCGGUGUAGCGGAUGAAAUGCGUAGAUAUCGGGAGGAACACCAGUGGCGAAGGCGGUUGCCUGGAGCUUUGCUGACGCUGAUGCGCGAAAGCGUGGGGAGCGAUCCGG
rnacentral:rRNA from 1 species